CGCACCUCGUCGGCCCCGCGCCCCGCAUCCCCGCGCCCGCUCGCACCUACAGCGCCCCCGCGCCCAGGCCACCGCCGCCGGGUCCCGUUCUGACGUCCGGGCCCCCCCCCGCGUCCGCCCGCCAGAGGGUGCGGCCGGAAUGCCCCCUCCUAUGGCGCCCCCCAGUGGACCCGGCGCCCGGCCAAGGGGAAGGCGCCGCCUGCCGCUGCACGCGGGGCGGGGCUCGCCGAGCCCCGGGUGUAGCGCCGCAGGGGUCCGCACCCGGGUCUCCCCCAGCAGCCUCCAGCCCCGGCGCACAGCACCCUGGACAGUGCCCACCUCCCCGUGGCGCCAGCGGCGGUCCCCGGAGGGGCACAGAGGACGCCAGGCGGGUCACUCGGUGCAAGGGACAUCGGGGCCUUGGGCCGAUUAAGUGACCACAGAUGGCAGUAGAGACUUCGCAGCCGGCGCCCAGCCCUUCGAUGGUCACUGAUAACCGAGAGGGCCCCCCAACCUGCGUCUGCACGCGAACGCCUCCAACCCUGUUUCCUCCUCUGUGAGUUCCGAGUCUGGCAUCCUAGAGCUGUUGGAGAAUCUCUUACUGACGCGGUCCUGUGGGGGGCGUGGAAAUGACAUCUCGGAGACUUCAGACAAUUUUCCCCAACGUCACGCGGCGAGAAAUCGGGACCUGGCCUCAGAACAGCUCUCUGCAAGCCGGCCACGCCACGCCGCCUCCUCCGUUGCCACGGUUUCGGUUUCUUCCAACGACCUCCGGGGGCGGAGGCAAACACAUGAGCUAUGAGCUCGGGACAGCGGGGCCCUCCUGACCGCCUGGGAUGCGGACGUCUCAAACCUGGGUUCUCCGACACGGCAGCCACACGACACACGGGGCACAAAGCUCAAAGCGUGGCUCGUGUGAACGGGGACGUGCCGUGAGCGUACAAUCCGCGUUGGGCCUCGAGGAUCUCGUACGAGAAAACUCACGUCAAGAGUCUCGUCGGGCCACUGGCAGUGUUAAAACGGCACGCGUGGCUCACGUCUGUGGCACAGGUUGUGCUUCCCUCGACGGUGCGGUCCUACGUCUCCAGGGCUCCGAGCUGCUGUGACAGGCGGGCGGCACCGGUGGGCGUGUGCUCCGCGGGUGACCCGCUCUCUGCCAUUCUCAGGGAGAGAAGACCACAUGUGUGCGUGCACACACACGAGGCGGGGAGGGGCAG